CACGUAGGGCGCGAGCGUUGUCCGGAAUUAUUGGGCGUAAAGAGCUCGUAGGCGGCCUGUUGCGUCCGCUGUGAAAGCCCGGGGCUUAACCCCGGGUCGGCAGUGGAUACGGGCAGGCUAGAGGUAGGUAGGGGAGAAUGGAAUUCCCGGUGUAGCGGUGAAAUGCGUAGAGAUCGGAAAGAACACCAACGGCGAAAGCACUCUGCUGGGCCGACACUGACACUGAGAGACGAAAGCUAGGGGGAGCGAAUGGG
rnacentral:rRNA from 1 species